UAGGGAAUCUUCGGCAAUGGGGGCAACCUGACCGAGCAACGCCGCGUGAGUGAAGAAGGUUUUCGGAUCGUAAAGCUCUGUUGUAAGAGAAGAACGUGUGUGAGAGUGGAAAGUUCACACAGUGACGGUAACUUACCAGAAAGGGACGGCUAACUACGUGCCAG
rnacentral:rRNA from 1 species